UACGAAGGGUGCAAGCGUUACUCGGAAUUACUGGGCGUAAAGCGUGCGCAGACGGUUGCGUAAGUCAGAUGUGAAAGCCCCGGGCUCAACCUGGGAAUUGCAUUUGAGACUGCGUAGCUAGGGUGCGGAAGAGGGAAGCGGAAUUUCCGGUGUAGCGGUGAAAUUCGUAGAUAUUCGCAAGAACACCAGUGGCGAAGGCGGCUCACUGGCCCGAUACUGACGCUGAGGCACGAAAGCGUGGGGAGCAAACAGG
rnacentral:rRNA from 1 species